rnacentral:rRNA from 1 species
UCAGGUAACACUGAAUGGAGGACCGAACCGACUUACGUUGAAAAGUGAGCGGAUGAACUGAGGGUAGCGGAGAAAUUCCAAUCGAACCUGGAGAUAGCUGGUUCUCUCCGAAAUAGCUUUAGGGCUAGCCUCAAGUGAUGAUUAUUGGAGGUAGAGCACUGUUUGGACGAGGGGCCCCUCUCGGGUUACCGAAUUCAGACAAACUCCGAAUGCCAAUUAAUUUAACUUGGGAGUCAGAACAUGGGUGAUAAGGUCCGUGUUCGAAAGGGAAACAGCCCAGACCACCAGCUAAGGUCCCAAAAUAUAUGUUAAGUGGAAAAGGAUGUGGCGUUGCCCAGACAACUAGGAUGUUGGCUUAGAAGCAGCCAUCAUUUAAAGAGUGCGUAAUAGCUCACUAGUCGAGUGACACUGCGCCGAAAAUGUACCGGGGCUAAACAUAUUACCGAAGCUGUGGAUUGUCCUUUGGACAAUGGUAGGAGAGCGUUCUAAGGGCGUUGAAGCAUGAUCGUAAGGACAUGUGGAGCGCUUAGAAGUGAGAAUGCCGGUGUGAGUAGCGAAAGACGGGUGAGAAUCCCGUCCACCGAUUGACUAAGGUUUCCAGAGGAAGGCUCGUCCGCUCUGGGUUAGUCGGGUCCUAAGCUGAGGCCGACAGGCGUAGGCGAUGGAUAACAGGUUGAUAUUCCUGUACCACCUAUAAUCGUUUUAAUCGAUGGGGGGACGCAGUAGGAUAGGCGAAGCGUGCGAUUGGAUUGCACGUCUAAGCAGUAAGGCUGAGUAUUAGGCAAAUCCGGUACUCGUUAAGGCUGAGCUGUGAUGGGGAGAAGACAUUGUGUCUUCGAGUCGUUGAUUUCACACUGCCGAGAAAAGCCUCUAGAUAGAAAAUAGGUGCCCGUACCGCAAACCGACACAGGUAGUCAAGAUGAGAAUUCUAAGGUGAGCGAGCGAACUCUCGUUAAGGAACUCGGCAAAAUGACCCCGUAACUUCGGGAGAAGGGGUGCUCUUUAGGGUUAACGCCCAGAAGAGCCGCAGUGAAUAGGCCCAAGCGACUGUUUAUCAAAAACACAGGUCUCUGCUAAACCGUAAGGUGAUGUAUAGGGGCUGACGCCUGCCCGGUGCUGGAAGGUUAAGAGGAGUGGUUAGCUUCUGCGAAGCUACGAAUCGAAGCCCCAGUAAACGGCGGCCGUAACUAUAACGGUCCUAAGGUAGCGAAAUUCCUUGUCGGGUAAGUUCCGACCCGCACGAAAGGCGUAACGAUUUGGGCACUGUCUCAACGAGAGACUCGGUGAAAUCAUAGUACCUGUGAAGAUGCAGGUUACCCGCGACAGGACGGAAAGACCCCGUGGAGCUUUACUGUAGCCUGAUAUUGAAAUUCGGCACAGCUUGUACAGGAUAGGUAGGAGCCUUUGAAACGUGAGCGCUAGCUUACGUGGAGGCGCUGGUGGGAUACUACCCUAGCUGUGUUGGCUUUCUAACCCGCACCACUUAUCGUGGUGGGAGACAGUGUCAGGCGGGCAGUUUGACUGGGGCGGUCGCCUCCUAAAAGGUAACGGAGGCGCUCAAAGGUUCCCUCAGAAUGGUUGGAAAUCAUUCAUAGAGUGUAAAGGCAUAAGGGAGCUUGACUGCGAGACCUACAAGUCGAGCAGGGUCGAAAGACGGACUUAGUGAUCCGGUGGUUCCGCAUGGAAGGGCCAUCGCUCAACGGAUAAAAGCUACCCCGGGGAUAACAGGCUUAUCUCCCCCAAGAGUUCACAUCGACGGGGAGGUUUGGCACCUCGAUGUCGGCUCAUCGCAUCCUGGGGCUGUAGUCGGUCCCAAGGGUUGGGCUGUUCGCCCAUUAAAGCGGUACGCGAGCUGGGUUCAGAACGUCGUGAGACAGUUCGGUCCCUAUCCGUCGUGGGCGUAGGAAAUUUGAGAGGAGCUGUCCUUAGUACGAGAGGACCGGGAUGGACAUACCUCUGGUGUACCAGUUGUCGUGCCAACGGCAUAGCUGGGUAGCUAUGUGUGGACGGGAUAAGUGCUGAAAGCAUCUAAGCAUGAAGCCCCCCUCAAGAUGAGAUUUCCCAACUUCGGUUAUAAGAUCCCUCAAAGAUGAUGAGGUUAAUAGGUUCGAGGUGGAAGCAUGGUGACAUGUGGAGCUGACGAAUACUAAUCGAUCGAAGACUUAAUCAA